rnacentral:rRNA from 1 species
GACGAACGCUGGCGGCGUGCCUAAUACAUGCAAGUAGAACGCAGUUGCGAACGGGUGAGUAACGCGUAGGUAACUGCCUCAUAGCGGGGGAUAACUAUUGGAAACGAUAGCUAAUACCGCAUACUUUGAGAUGGACCUGCGUUGUAUUAGGUAGUUGGUUGGGUAAAGGCUCACCAAGGCGACGAUACAUAGCCGACCUGAGAGGGUGAUCGGCCACACUGGGACUGAGAAACGGCCCCAACUCCUACGGGGGGCAGGAGGAGGGGAUCUUCGGCAAUGGACGGAAGUCUGACCGAGCAACGCCGGGUGAGUGAAGAAGGUUUUCGGAUCGGAAAGCUAUGUUGUUAGAGAAGCGGUAACUAACGAGAAAGGGACGGCUAACUACGUGCCAGCAGCCGCGGUAAUUC